rfam:Picea glauca, whole genome shotgun sequence.
GUAACGGUGUCUUUAGACACCACAAUAAAUCUUCGAAAUUGUGUGU